rnacentral:rRNA from 1 species
CAAUAGCGUAUACUAAAGUUGUUGCGAUUAAAAAGCUCGUAGUUGGAUCUCAGGCAUGGGCGCACGGUCCGCCUCGCGGCGGUCACUGUGUGUUUUGUUUCCCAUCCUACGCUUCCCGGUUAUCAGCCCAUGGUGCUCUUCACUGAGCGUUUUGGGUGGCCGGAACGUUUACUUUGAAGAAAUUAGAGUGUUCAAAGCAGGCACGUCGCCUGAAUAAUGGUGCAUGGAAUAAUGGAAUAGGACCUCGGUUCUAUUUUGCUGGUUUUCGGAACAUGAGGUAAUGAUUAAGAGGGACAGACGGGGGCAUCCGUAUUGCGGUGUUAGAGGUGAAAUUCUUGGAUCAUCGCAAGACGAACAACUGCGAAAGCAUUUGCCAAGCAUGUUUUCAUUAG